rnacentral:tRNA from 1 species
GGCCGCCUGGCGAAAUGGCAUCGCGUCUGACUACGAUGAUGUAUAUCAGGAGAUUGCAGGUUCGACCCCUGCGGUGGUCA